ACCGAGUGCCAGCAUCAUAUGCUGGCUGUCCAGGUGUGUAAAAUACACCUGUUAGCAAGGGCCGGGCAAGACCGGUGCCAGCCGCCGCGGUAACACCGGCGGCCCGAGUGGUGAUCGUGAUUAUUGGGUCUAAAGGGUCCGUAGCCGGUUUGGUCAGUCCUCCGGGAAAUCUGAUAGCUCAACUAUUAGGCUUUCGGGGGAUACUGCCAAACUUGGAACCGGGAGAGGUAAGAGGUACUACAGGGGUAGGAGUGAAAUCUUGUAAUCCCUGUGGGACCACCUGUGGCGAAGGCGUCUUACCAAAACGGGUUCGACGGUGAGGGACGAAAGCUGGGGGCACGAACCGGAUUAGAUACCCGGGUAGUCCCAGCCGUAAACGAUGCUCGCUAGGUGUCAGGCAUGGCGCGACCGUGUCUGGUGCCGCAGGGAAGCCGUGAAGCGAGCCACCUGGGAAGUACGGCCGCAAGGCUGAAACUUAAAGGAAUUGGCGGGGGAGCAC
rnacentral:rRNA from 1 species